GUGACGCGCAAACCCGAAUGAUCCGGUUUGGUAGGCUUAAUACGGUGGAUCAGGUAUGUUAGAGCGGGAAAAAGGCACAGGAGAAAACUCAGGACCAGGAUUCAAAAAAAAAAAAAAAAAAAAACACCCGGCUAAAAAAAAGUGGCAAGGAUGAAGUGGAAUUUAGGGAAAGGAUGUUUUAGUGUCUGGUGCAGCCUCUAUUCAUUCCCCUCCCUUUUCCGUGAUCUUGCUUUGACAAAGAAGGUCGACUAAAAGAAAAGAGCAAAACAAAAAGUUUCUUCCGAAGGCGUCUUCAAAAUUUUUUUUAUCAUGUUUCAUUCCACCAACACGGAAAUUCCCAACCGAAUUGUUUUGAUAAUGUGUCUUAGGGUUACAGCAAGGUGAGAAAAAAAAAUCAACAUCAACAACAAAAAAAAACCCCCGACCGUCCAGGAGGAGUGUGAUGUCUGGGGUUAGUGCCCUGUGAUGGACUGGCACCCCGUCCAGGAUGUCCCCCUGGGAUAGGCUCCAGGUAGUAAGGAUAAGCGGUACAGAAAAUGGAUGUAUGGAUGUAUGGAUUAAUAAGGGUUGUCCAGUCUUAUCUGCGAAAGGUCAGCGUUUCUGCAGGUUUUCAUACCAGCCAAGUAUCUGAUUGAAGGCCAGGAUGAAUUGUUUAAACAGGUGGAAACAGGUGGGGCUCCUGAUUGGCUGGAGUGAAAACUUCCCAUUCACUUUAAGGAUCAGAUUGGACACCUAUAACUUUCUCACUUCUGCUUGUUUGUGUUUGGUGGCAAAAGUGGAAAACGCAAGAGUCGUAGACAUGGAUUGGGAUUGGAGCCCAGAUUACUGAAGAUGUGACAGUGAAUGAGUUGAUCAGGUCCUCCUCAACCCUCUGAACUUGUUUCUGUGCGGAAUAAAAAUAUCUGAUUCUGAUGAUUCUAAUGACUUUAUGGUGCCAUGUCCAAGCAUCCAGUACAGGUUUAUCCUCUGAAGGAG
ensembl:lncRNA